UUCGUCUCCGCCGCGUCUGCAGAUUGUUAGCAGGACAGGUAAUGAAAGAAAAACUAGCUAUAGCAUGGAAACUGCACGGUACUGAGGCUCUGUGGUGAUUCAAUUCCCGCAGAAGUCUAAUCUAGUGUGCAGAAAUGGAAGAUUUCGGGAUCCGCUUUGCAGCUUAAAUGAUCAAAAUUGAUUUUCCGAUAUUUCUGCUGCCAGUAAUCCCCGAACAGUUUUGAAUUUGGUCUUUGCAGCACCACUGAUCGUGGUUUUCAAUAUAAUUUUUCGGUUAUUGUUGAUUGAAGAAUGAGAGGAGCAAAAUUUCCUAGUGAAAGUGCGUAAUCUCUUGUUUUGUGUCUAAACAUUUCAUUUGUUCUUUCACCGGAGCAAGAGCUGCCAUGAUUGAACUAUGGUUUUGACUAGUCUCGAUUUGGAUAUGCACAGAUCUGUGAGGAAUUGACAGGCAUGUGAUUUAAUUAGAGUUUAGUCCUCGACAGUAAAUGCAAAUACACAGAACCGUAUUUUUCUUCUUUAUUAAUCAAUAGUAAAAUCACAAUGACCAUAGAUCUGUCAAUCUCACUUAACCAACACUUGUUAUAGGUAAUUCAUUCACUGAUUCACUCCAGUCUACUUCCUCCUACCCAGCCUGGCUUCUUAAAUGUCCAUUAAUGGAUGAAAGGAAAAGCAGGUCUCAGGGUAAACUGUAAAGCCUUCAGUUACAUACAUAAAGGGUAUUACGGUCAUUUCAUUCGAGAUUCGAAUAUCACCAGGCAACGGCUAUGAGGUAAUCCUGUCAUUGUGAAAGAGAAAUUUAUUUUUUCAGUUUUUACAUUUACCAUAAGAAGGGACGAACCGAUGAGCGAAUAAAAGUAUAUUGCAGUUGAGGUGAUACGUUAUGUUAGAUGGGGGACCACUUUGCAAUUUUCUGCAAGUCCUGUAUUAGUUCAGCCAUUUUUUUCCCAAUUCAACCAUGAAAUGAAUUAUGUAUUGGUGCUUAGA